rnacentral:lncRNA from 1 species
AUGAUUUCUCUCCCAAACGAUGAUGCAGAAGGAAUGUACUUUUGGUACAAAGAGGAACAUAAUUUAAAGUUCACCUUCAGGUUGAAAAGGUAAGGGAAAAUAGAUAAUGUAUAAAAUAUUUCCAUGUUCUUUUAAGAUUAUCUGCUCAUUAAGAACUUUUACCUGCUUUGAAAGAUCGAGUUUUUUGUGGUGGCAUCCAUUGGUUUCUAAUACUGCUCGACUCCUCUGUUUUCCCAUGUUCGGCACUGGAAAAUCUCCCCCUGGCAUAAACGAUCAGUCAAAUGGAAGCAGGUUCCUAAAGAUUUCAAAAUCUUAUACACAGUGAAUAGUAGGUUCCCUGAACAUAUAUAGUUUUAAUUUUCUUUUACACAACAAGCUCAUCAGCCACAGCUAUUUUUGUUUUUCUUGGUUUCUGCAUUUAUUAUGGAUUAAGUUCUAUAGAAGAAAAUGAGUGCAAUGCCUACAUUCCCAUAUCUGAAACGAACAGAACAGUGGAAUUUAAUAAGCCGCUUAGGAUUUAUGAUGAAUUCUCGACUUGUUUGUGAAAUUAG